UUUCCAAUCAGUUAUUCGCGUUUGAAUUCGCACAAUCUUCGUUCAUGAACUUGACAAUUAACUGUGCCAUACAAUGGUUAAUGGUCUCUUUCCGUCCGCUUGAAGAAAUUGUGAGAAACAUUGUCUUGUCUUUGUCUUGUAAAUUCUCACACAAUUGCAACACUAAUCCAUUCAAGACAAAAGGAACUUCACCUUUGGAAUAAAGCCUCGAGAGUUAACGGAAGAUAUGGUACUGUAAAGUAAAUAAAAAAAUAUAGAAGUCUUGUCAGACAAUGGAAAUAGUUCCUGAGUGGCAAUUAUAUGUUUUAAAGGCUAAAGCUGCGGGACUUUCCCGUGAUAAAGCAGCAGCAC